AAAAGGAAGGGUUAAAUGUAAGUGUGCUUAUUCACGUAUUAUCAAAUGGUAUAGCUGUUUAGAAAAGUAAAGUUAAUUGUUGCGCAAAUGCUACCAUAAACCUUUGACUUUUGAAUAAAUCAAACUAAGCACAAGGCAACUAAGAUACGUGGUGACCAAGAACUCUUGUAUUGAUGUUCAGUUUAUUAUUGGUGAGGCAGUGAUGUAAAGCGCGUCGUGGUGUUUUUAAAUGGAUGAAUGUUGUGCUAACAGACGGGGGGGAAACUCCAGGCAUUGCAGUCCUGAUCCUGUAUGAUGCAGAAGAUGUCCAUCCAACCGCACAUUGAUCUCUGCAGCGUGGUCGGUGGGAGGAGAUGUGGCCGAGCUGUUGAACCAGGCUCUAUCGGUGUCAGGACGCGUUGGUGGAGGAGGGGGACUGAUGGAGGAGAGCCGACGGAGCCAUGGUGGACGAGAGCCGACGGAGCCAUGGUGGACGAGAGCCAAGGGAGCCAUGGUGGACGAGAGCCGACGGAGCCAUGGUGGACGAGAGCCGACGGAGCCAUGGUGGACGAGAGCCGACGGAGCCAUGGUGGACGAGAGCUGACGGAGCCGACGGCGCCGUGGUGGGCGAGAGCCGACGGCGCCGUGGUGGACGAGAGCCGACGGAGGAGCCGUGGUGGACGAGAGCCGACGGAGGAGCCGUGGUGGACGAGAGCCGACGGAGGAGCCGUGGUGGACGAGAGCCGACGGAGGAGCCGUGGUGGACGAGAGCCGGCGGAGGAGCCGUGGUGGACGAGAGCCGACGGAGGAGCCGUGGUGGACGAGAGCCGACGGAGGAGCCGUGGUGGACGAGAGCCGACGGAGGAGCCGUGGUGGACGAGAGCCGACGGAGGAGCCGUGGUGGAGGCCCUGCCUUAAGAAUGAUGUCGGGCCAGUACUUUGGUUCAGAAUGGUUUAAAAGAGGCGUCCGAAGAAUAAUCCCACCCACUGCCAACUACCAGCCCUGUUUGUUACAGACCCAAUGCCCUUGGCUGAUGGAGGAACUGCAUCUGGAGGGCGACCAUGAAUCUACCUGCCAACAGGUGGUACUGGUUUGCACUGGUUUGCAUGAACUGAACAUGGUGGACAUGAGGCAAAUUCCCUGCUUUUUGCUCCAGACCAGGACUGGGUGAUGGAGGGGGGCUGAUAGAGCCGUGCUGAGGACCUGCUGGUGAAGGACGUCCCUCGGUGGGGGGGCUAGGACAGCCGACCCUGAGGAUCCGCUCGGAUCUACGAUCGCUACGAUGCGACUGCAGAGGUCUCUGGAAGACCAGGAGUCCUUGCCUGAGGAGAGCUGACGGAGGAGCCGUGCACCUGGAGAACCAUGAGUCUGCCUGCCAACAAGUAGUACUGGAAGGCGGGGCAUAGGGAGGUGUUGGAGGACCUGCCUGGUGAAGGACGUCAGGGUGGGGCGAGUGACACCCGACUCCAAGGGGAUAUCCACUGAGGAGAGAGCUGAAGGAGCCAUGCAUCUGGAAGUUGAAAUGCUGUGUCCAGUCUGGGACAGACGGACCUGAGCUGCAUCAAACCUGUAUCUCUGACCAGUUGGAGGCCUUUAGUGAUCAACAACCGCCACUCAUCGCUGGCCUGUGGAUUCAUCUCCUUCACACUCGCACAUCAGGACUUUGGCCUGUGGAUUCAUCUCCUCCACACUCACACAACAGGACUUUGGCCUGUGGAUUCAUCUCCUCCACACUCACACAACAGGACUUUGGCCUGUGGAUUCAUCUCCUCCACACUCACACAACGUGACCUUCUCACCAUCUGUUGCACGUUUGGAUGCACCUAGCGUGUUCCAUCGAGGGUUCCUUCCUCCCCACGGUGGGAGGGUUCCUUGUCCUUCAAGGCGUCGGGGUUCAGUGUUAGGGACAGAGUUAGGGACAGAUGGCUGCGCUGGAUUCACAAUAUACGCUUUGUGAUCAAAAUGGGUUCGGACAUCGGACAAAUCGCUUCCCAAAAUGUUUCAAUGUGCAAACGAUUUUAUAAAAUGUGUACUCGUGGUGUUUAUAUAAAAUCAUAU